UGAACGCUGGCGGUAGGUUUUAUCCAUGCAAGUCGAGCGGUAACAGACAUUGUGAUUCAGCUUGCUGAAUCUAGUGCUGACGAGCGGCGAACUGGUGAGUAACGCGUAGGAAUCUGCCCAGUAGCGGGGGAUAGCCCGAGGAAACUCGGAUUAAUACCGCAUACGCCCUAAGGGGGAAAGGGGGCAUCUUUGAUGCUCUUACUAUUGGAGGAGCCUGCGUAAGAUUAGCUUGUUGGUAGGGUAAAGGCCUACCAAGGCGACGAUCUUUAGCUGGUCUGAGAGGACGAUCAGCCACAUUGGGACUGAGACACGGCCCAGACGUCUACGGACGGCAGCAGGAGAGAAUAUUGGACAAUGAGGGAAACCUUGAUCCAGCCAUACCGCGUGUGUGAAGAAGGCCUUAGGGUUGUAAAGCACUUUAAGCGAUGAAGAAGAAAAGUAAGUUAAUACCUUACUUUUUUGACGUUAUUCGCAGAAUAAGUACCGGCUAACUCCGUGCCAGCAGCCGCGGUAAUACGGAGGGUACAAGCGUUAAUCGGAAUUACUGGGCGUAAAGCGCGCGUAGGCGGUUAAGUAAGUUGGAUGUGAAAGCCCUGGGCUCAACCUAGGAACUGCAUUCAAAACUAUUUAACUAGAGUGCGAGAGAGGAGAGUAGAAUUUCUGGUGUAGCGGUGAAAUGCGUAGAUAUCAGAAGGAAUACCAAUGGCGAAGGCAGCUCUCUGGAUCGUCACUGACGCUAAGUGCGAAAGCGUGGGUAGCAAACAGGAUUAGAUACCCUGGUAGUCCACGCCGUAAACGAUGAGAACUAGCCGUUGGGGAGAAUUAACUCUUCAGUGGCGCAGCUAACGCAUUAAGUUCUCCGCCUGGGGACUACGGCCGCAAGGCUAAAACUCAAAUGAAUUGACGGGGGCCCGCACAAGCGGUGGAUCAUGUGGUUUAAUUCGAUGCAACGCGAAGAACCUUACCUACCCUUGAAAUCCAGCGAAGUUCCUAGAGAUAGGAAUGUGCCUUCGGGAACGCUGUGACAGGUGUUGCAUGGCUGUCGUCAGCUCGUGUCGUGAGAUGUAUGGUUAAGUCCAGUAACGAGCGCAACCCCUAUCCUUAUUUGCCAGCGCAUAAUGGCGGGAACUAUAAGGAGACUGCCGGUCAUAAACCGGAGGAAGGCGGGGACGACGUCAAGUCAUCAUGGCCCUUAUGGGUAGGGCUACACACGUGAUACAAUGGGUGGUACAGAGGGUCGCCAAAGCGCGAGCUGGAGCCAAACCCUUAAAACCAUUCUUAGUCCGGAUUGGAGUCUGCAACUCGACUCCAUGAAGUCGGAAUCGCUAGUAAUCGCGAAUCAGAAUGUCGCGGUGAAUACGUUCUCGGGCCUUGUACACACCGCCCGUCACGUCAUGGAAGUGGGUUGCACCAGAAGUGGCUUGUUUAACCUUCGGGAAAACGGUCACCACGGUGUGAUUCACAACUGGGACG
rnacentral:rRNA from 1 species